rnacentral:rRNA from 1 species
CAGCAGCCACGGUAAUACGUAGGUCCCGAGCGUUGUCCGGAUUUAUUGGGCGUAAAGCGAGCGCAGGCGGUUAGAUAAGUCUGAAGUUAAAGGCUGUGGCUUAACCAUAGUACGCUUUGGAAACUGUUUAACUUGAGUGCAAGAGGGGAGAGUGGAAUUCCAUGUGUAGCGGUGAAAUGCGUAGAUAUAUGGAGGAACACCGGUGGCGAAAGCGGCUCUCUGGCUUGUAACUGACGCUGAGGCUCGAAAGCGUGGGGAGCAAACAGGAUUAGAUACCCCAGUAGUCCCUGUCUCUUAUACC